CAGGUGAGCGCCGGCUGGGCUUGAUGGGAGGCUGAAUCCCGUUCGUGGACCGCCGUUGCCUCUUCGCGGGAUCGUUGGCCACAAUAGCAGGAAACCUAUGGCCUGCAUCAAUGAAAUAGCCAAGAUCAACCAGAAAAAGAAUAUUGGUCUCCCAUCUGCAAGACUGGGGAAAAAAUUAGAAGACUGAGGGGAUGAGGAAGGAAAGAAAACAGCCUAAUGGAGAAGAUCCUCAAACCUCAGACCUGGAAGUGAGCCUGGGGCUUCCCUAGUCUACCCCUGCAUUGCACAGAUGGGGAGACUGAGGCCCUAAGAGGCGGAAGAACUGACUCAAGCUCACUCUGUGAGUUGAGGGUGGAACUGGAACUGAACUCAGACCCACACCUCCUGGCAAAGUGCUCAAUGCCCUCUGCCCGCGCAGCCCUCCUGCUCUCCUAACAAGCUAGAGACACUAAAAGCUGCCUCUCCAGGAGAAUCGCUUGAAUCCGGGAGGCAGAGGUUGCAGUGAGCCAAGAUCGUGCCACUGCACUUCAGCCUGGCGACAGAGCAAGACUCCGUUUCAAAAUACAUACAUACAUACAUGCAUACAUACAUACAUACAUACAUACAUACAUACAUACAUACAAAAGCUGCCUCUCUAACCCCCAGACAUUUUGAAUUCAUGUUUUUGCCACAAAGUGUUCUUGGAAUCAAAGAAUCAAUUCAUUAAUCUGGGUAAUUAGUUUAGGAACCAGAGGGCUUGGAGACUG
ensembl:lncRNA novel transcript